rnacentral:tRNA from 1 species
GGGAGUUUAGCUAAGUGGCACAAGCACAUGCCUGGCAAGCAUAAGGUCAUGAGCUUAAAUCCCG